GGUCCUGGUCUUCAUCUUGCUCCUCUUCCUCCUCCUCGGGGAGCUGGGGUCCGGCAGGAGAAAGCUCUUUGAUAUUGGAGAGGCUUUGUCCUUCAUCGUGGUCAAUGGAGAGUCCUUGUCCGUCAUGGUCAAUGGAGAGCCCUUGUUCUUCAUCAUGGUCAAUGGAGAGCCUUCAUCUUUCAUCAUGGUCAAUGAAGAUACCCAACUCUUCCUCAUGGUCAAUGAAGAGCCCUUGUCCAUUAUGGUCAAUGGAGAGCCCUUGUCCUUCAUCGUGGUCACCAAAGAGCCUUCAUCAUCAUCAAGGAAGAGCCCUCAUCCUUCAUGGUCAAUGAAGAGCCUUCCUCCUUCAUCACGGUCAAUGAAGAGCCCUUGUCCAUCAUGGUAAAUGAAGAGUCCUUGUCCUUUAUCAUGGUCACCAGAGAUACCCAACUCUUCAUCACGGUCACCAAAGAGCCUUCAUCAUCAUCAAGAAAGAGCCCUUGUCCUUCAUCAUGAGCCCUCAUCCUUCACCACG